CCCAAAAAAAAAAAAGAUUUCCUCUUGGAUCACUGAGAUCUGUACUUAUCUAGUUCAUAAUUAUAGUUUUUUGAUCAAACAUUAUGCAUUUUCCCACAAUUCUCAUUACCGCAGCAGUCCAAAAAAGUAAGACAAAUCCAUUUAUAAUAAAAAAAAAUUACGUUGCUCCCCUAAUGAAAAGGCCUGAGUUAAACAUAACACUGAAAACAAUUAAUGAGAAAGCCAAGUGGGGUCAAGGGGGUGUUUGAGAAUAAGAAUCUCAUUCUGAAGCCAUAUAAGCAAUUUAAAUGAACUUCUACUCUACAUAUCAUGAGUGAAUAAAACUUUAGGUUUUUACAGGAACUUGGGAAAAGUGUUAGGUAAUGAGACAUGUCCACAGAAUUUAAACCGGACGCAUUUCGGUAAUGAGAAUUUGGGAUAAUAAUUUACUAAAUUCGGGCGGAAAUGUAUUUUAAAAUAAGACACUUUGCCAAAAACGACACAUCUUAGUCCUCAGAACAAUAAUGUUUUUUUGCAGAUGCAUCAUGGUUUUCUAAAUCAAAUUGCUACAGACAUGUUUAAAACUGGUUCCGUUUGAGCCCAGGCCAGGUAGCCCAGGCCAGGUAGCCCAGGCCUACGUCUAUGCAUAAUCACGUGCACGUCCUUACUCAACAUUGACAGGAGCGUUACAAACAAAAUACAAUAACACGUAAAUGGAAUGAAAUAAACAAAACUUUCUCACAAGUGUAGUAGAGGUUGUGAGCUCUAAACGACUGUAAAUAAUAAUCAUAAUAAUAAUAUAUUAAAUGCAUUAACAGAAAUUACCAUAACCAAACAAACGUUGUAGAUUAUUAAAUUAUGGGAAUUAAGGGUAAAUGUACUGCUGGUGAUUUUUAUAUGUGAUGGUGAACUGAUAGACACUAACAAUCAAAGGGCAAACAAUUCACACAAUAAAGUUAUGAAACAAUGAAUGUGCACGAAUUGGCGGGAGAGAGUGCAUUCUGGAGAGAGACGUGCUUUCUGUAUCUAAGCCACACUACCCUUCUUCUUGACUCAACAUUUUAAAUAAUACCCAAAAACACUAUCUUCACACACAAUGCAGGCCUAAGGAAUACUCUCACAAACGGUGUCAGGUCCAAAGCGGUAGCCAUUUAUGUAAAACCAAUACAAUUUUGAAACUAAUGCAAUUUCUCUUUUCUCUAUUUUCUCGAAUAGCUUGGCUGCCAAGGCAAAUAUCCUUGUGGCACUCAUGCCUUAGUCCACGGAGACAGGAGCGAAUCACACAGGUGUCUCAUGUGCCAUGAGAAAUAAAAUAAAUUGCAACUGCUCGACUAAGAAAAUCUGUCGUCCAACAGCCUAUUGACCAAACAAUCGACCAGUCGACUAAAUGGUUGUCAUUCCUAAUCUAGCUAGCUAGUUAUUUUCAUGAACUGAAGUUUGAUUUCAAUGGGAGAACAACAAGUGACUGCCUAGCUAAUACUUAGUCACAUGGAUUACUAAAUCAUUGAUAAGAAUAUUGAAAAUGAUUGCAGUUUCUGGUCAUUGUUUUCAGGCUGGUUGCAUUGGUGCUAGCUAGGUACCAAGCUAAAGCUAGCUAGCUAGCCAUGAAGUUGGGUUUCCUCUAGUUACUAUAGCCAUAUCUAUAUCGUAAUGGCUAUAUCGUAAAAAUUCAUCAGAACAUCAGUUUUUUGGUGUUAAUUCAAGGUUAGGCAUAAGGUUAGAAGUGGGGUUAGGGUUAAAAUCAGAUUUUAAGAAGAAAAAAUUUGGAAGAAAUAGGCGGAGUUUAUGACUUUGUGGCUGUGGUAACUAGUGACGACCCAGAAGUUGAUAAUAACAUCUGUAUCAAAGAUAUUUGUGAGUGACUUUGUCAUACUGCAAACCGGAGUCAACGUAGUAGGGAGACGGCCUACCUCCUAGUUUCCAAACUGUCAUCAAUGUUGACAAAAUGCUUGAUUAUUAUUCUGUAUUUUGACUAGAUGGGAUGAAUCAGGUGCAACUGCUUGGGAUGUGGCUGGCUGGCAGGCAGAAGCAACAGAAUCAGCAUCCUGUCUCCCCUGCUUCUGGGAUGGUUGCAUGUCGGGGAGAAUGUUGGACUACCUAGCUAACAUGUUUUAUCCUGCUCGACCUUGAUCUAAUUUUUAAAUGUCUACAGACAUUUUUCCAUUUGGUUGGAACAAAUAAUGGCUUAUUACCAACGCAGUAUUGUAAACACAUCGUUAUUUAUUUAUUUUGUUAUUUAACAUGUCAAAUUAAAAGCUUUAUUUGACGUUGA